AGUGAACGUUGGCGGCGUGGAUUAGGCAUGCAAGUCGAGCGAUCGUAGCAAUACGGGAGCGGCAAACGGGGUAGGAAUACAUCGGAACGUACCUUUUGGUUGAGAAUAGCGUUGGGAAACUGACGGUAAUACUCAAUAAAGUCGAGAGACCAAAGGUUUACUGCCGGAAGAGCGGCCGAUGCGAUAUUAGGUAGUUGGUGGGGUAAUGGCCUACCAAGCCUGAGAUGUCUAGGGGGUGUGAGAGCAUGGCCCCCACCACUGGGACUGAGAUACUGCCCAGACACCUACGGGUGGCUGCAGUCGAGGAUCUUCGUCAAUGGGCGAAAGCCUGAACGAGCGACGCCGCGUGCGGGAUGAAGGCCCUUGGGUUGUAAACCGCUGUCAGGGGGGAUGAAACCGUAAGGUUGACGAGAGCCCCAGAGGAAGCACGGGCUAAGUUCGUGCCAG
rnacentral:rRNA from 1 species